rnacentral:tRNA from 1 species
GUGUACUUAGCUCAAUGGUUAGAGCAUCACUCAUGAAUGCUGAGUAUGUGAGUUUGACUCUCACAGUACAUG